UACGGAGGGGGUUAGCGUUGUUCGGAAUUACUGGGCGUAAAGCGCGCGUAGGCGGAUAUUUAAGUCAGGGGUGAAAUCCCGGGGCUCAACCCCGGAACUGCCUUUGAUACUGGGUAUCUUGAGUCCGAGAGAGGUGAGUGGAAUUCCGAGUGUAGAGGUGAAAUUCGUAGAUAUUCGGAGGAACACCAGUGACGAAGGCGGCUCACUGGCCAGAUACUGACGCUGAGGUGCGAAAGUGUGGGGAGCAAACAGG
rnacentral:misc_RNA from 1 species